UUGUGCGUGUGUGAUUAGAAAAAAAUGAUAUAUAUAUAUAUAUAUUAAAUAGUGAGAUAAAUAAAUAGUGAAGCAUUAGAUUAGUUAGUUAGUUUAAAAUUUAAAAUUUAAAUUUAAAUCAGCAUAAUUUUAUCUGAUUAGUUAGAUAUUUAUUUUUAAAUUUAAACCUAUUAUACGAUAUGUUAUAUACGUAUAUACUCUAUAACCCUAGCAGCCAGAUAGUAUCGUAUUCCCUUAUUCUCACCAUCUCUCAAUUUCUUUUUUUAUUCUCUCUAUUGAACCAAAUCAAUUGUUUUAAUCUUAAGAGCUUCGGGGUUAGCAAUCAACCGAUCAUCGUUCCGUGUCUUCGAAAUCUUCAGGUAAAAUUCGUACUUGUUUUUAUUUUCGUUUUCAGAGAAAUAGGCUUUCAUAAAACUAUCAUAUCUCUCUCCCCAUAGGUCCGUUUUCAGUGAUCUAGGUACCGUUUUAAAGAUAAUUUAAUGAUCUAUAUUUUCUAUGAAGAAACUCUUUCCUAAUUCUGAAUAUUUCGAUGUCAAAAAAUUCAUGUUUUACAGACUGUCGAUUUACAGUUUUUUUUAAAAUUUCUUUUCGAUAUUGCCUUAGUAAAAGUGUCAUAUCUCUCUCGAUAUCUAUUAUUUUCAAGCGAUUCUUGUACUGUUAGAAAGAUAAUUCAAUAAUCCAUAUUUUCUUUGAAGAAACCUUUCCCUAGUUCGGAGUUCUUACCAGUCAAAAGUUAGGAUCUUUACUCGGUUAUGGUAUUUCGUUUUAAGUUUCGUUUCAGAAAAAGUGUCUUCAGUAAAAAUUCAAUAUCUCUCUCAAUUUCGAUCCAUUUUAAAAGAUCUUUAUCUCGUUUUAAAGCUUAGGAAAAUAGCUACAUUUUUUAUGAAGAAAGUAUUGUCUAGAUCAGGGUGUAACUAUUUUUAAAACAUUUAUUUUUAGGCUGUAUUCAGAAAUCGGCGUGAUCCAGGAUUUUAAAGAAACUGUUUUGAGAAAACAUGCAUAACUCCUAGAUUAUAGCUCCGAUUUUGAUGAUCUUUAUACCGUUAGAAAGGUCUUUCAAUUAACUAAAAACUUUGUGAACAGUAGGACUUCUAAUUCAAACGUUUUAUAUGUCAAAUUCUAGGUUAAACUUGCUGUACAGUAAGAGUAAUAAAUAUAUUGAGUUUAUCGGUGGACUAAGGGUUUCACUAAUUGUUAUAGGGCCUAGAAGGUAUCGUAAGAGUUAAUUACAGCGGAGUUGAGAUAAGUAAGCCUGUAAGCUUUCGGUGACAAGUUGAGUCUGGGCAGCAUGGGGUGUAUCUCGUGUGAUCAUGUAACUGCGUGUGGUCUUGGCCAUCUUCCGCUGAAAGUUUUUUUUUAAUUUAUUAAACUUAUCGAGGAUGUUGUCGUUUAAAUUUUCUAUUACUUUUCCCUAAGUGGUAAUACUUUAUUUUCAACUGGGUACCCA